CAAUACAAUUUAAAUCUGAUUCCUCACUGUCUGUCUUUUGACUGAUACUGCUUUUACUCAAAUAUUUGUUAAUAUGCAUGUUUCUAUCUACAAGCAAUACUUGGAAAAUGUGUCAUUUAUAAUAAUGAUACAUUCAUAAAUGAAUAGAUAUGGCAGGUUUCAGGACACUGAUAUAUCUGAACAUUAAAAAAAGAUAUACUGUUCCAUUCUUCACCUCCAAAGAAUAGCAGUGUGAUUUUAAUAUGAUUUGACUCUGCAGACUGUCAGGCUGUGGACUCACAGAGGAAGGCUGUGCUUCUCUGGUCUCAGCUCUGAGUUCAAACCCCUCACACCUCAGAGAGCUGGAUCUGAGUAACAAUGACCUGAAGGAUUCAGGAGUGAGGCUGCUCUCUGCUGGACUGGGGAAUCCCCACUGUAAACUGGAGACUCUGAGGCUGUCAGGCUGUCGAGUCACAGAGGAAGGCUGUGCUUCUCUGGUCUCAGCUCUGAGG